UACUCUAUGGCACAAUGAAUAAAGCGUUGGUCUACGGAACCAGAAAUUCCAGGUUCAAUCCUCGGUGGAGUUG
rnacentral:tRNA from 1 species